AAGGAUAAGAAUGUUAUGUGUGGUGUUUUUGGUGGAGUCAUUUAAUGGAACAUGUCAUUUCGACAUUUGACUAGGUUAGGUGCUAGACACUGUAUUUUAAUACAGUCAAGACAUUGCUAACGAUCAAGAAAAAUAGAAACAAAUCACAUGUUCAUUGUAAGGCCCAAUAUUUACCCGAGCCCGCAAACCAAAAAUUAACCAGUAAAAAAAAAAAAAUAAUAAAAACCUAAAUAUAAACCAAGCAAAAAAUUAUAACAGUCCAACAACAAUCCAGAUUACAAAACCCACUAAACUAAACCUAAAUUAACUACCCAGACAUUUAACCCUAGCCCAAAGCACAACGUAGCCCAAAACAAAAAUCAAAAUCAGAAACCCUAGGCAUUCAGCCCUAGCACGAGCG
rnacentral:lncRNA from 1 species